rnacentral:rRNA from 1 species
AUGAACGCUGGCGGCGUGCCUAAUACUUGCAAGUCGAGCGAACAGAUGAGGAGCUUGCUCCUCUGACGUUAGCGGCGGACGGGUGAGUAACACGUGGAUAACCUACCUAUAAGACUGGGAUAACUUCGGGAAACCGGAGCUAAUACCGGAUAAUAUAUUGAACCGCAUGGUUCAAUAGUGAAAGACGGUUUUGCUGUCACUUAUAGAUGGAUCCGCGCCGCAUUAGCUAGUUGGUAAGGUAACGGCUUACCAAGGCAACGAUGCGUAGCCGACCUGAGAGGGUGAUCGGCCACACUGGAACUGAGACACGGUCCAGACUCCUACGGGAGGCAGCAGUAGGGAAUCUUCCGAAAUGGGCGAAAGCCUGACGGAGCAACGCCGCGUGAGUGAUGAAGGUCUUCGGAUCGUAAAACUCUGUUAUUAGGGAAGAACAAAUGUGUAAGUAACUAUGCACGUCUUGACGGUACCUAAUCAGAAAGACACGGCUAACUACGUG